CACGUAGGGUGCGAGCGUUGUCCGGAAUUAUUGGGCGUAAAGAGCUCGUAGGCGGCUUGUUGCGUCGACUGUGAAAAACCACGUCUCAACCGUGGGACUGCAGUCGAUACGGGCAGGCUAGAGUUCGGUAGGGGAGACUGGAAUUCCUGGUGUAGCGGUGAAAUGCGCAGAUAUCAGGAGGAACACCGGUGGCGAAGGCGGGUCUCUGGGCCGAUACUGACGCUGAGGAGCGAAAGCGUGGGGAGCGAACAGG
rnacentral:rRNA from 1 species